rnacentral:rRNA from 1 species
GAUGAACGCUGGCGGCGUGCCUAAUACAUGCAAGUCGAGCGAAUGGAUUAAGAGCUUGCUCUUAUGAAGUUAGCGGCGGACGGGUGAGUAACACGUGGGUAACCUGCCCAUAAGACUGGGAUAACUCCGGGAAACCGGGGCUAAUACCGGAUAACAUUUUGAACCGCAUGGUUCGAAGUUGAAAGGCGGCUUCGGCUGUCACUUACGGAUGGACCCGCGUCGCAUUAGCUAGUUGGUGAGGUAACGGCUCACCAAGGCAACGAUGCGUAGCCGACCUGAGAGGGUGAUCGGCCACACUGGGACUGAGACACGGCCCAGACUCCUACGGGAGGCAGCAGUAGGGAAUCUUCCGCAAUGGACGAAAGUCUGACGGAGCAACGCCGCGUGAGUGAUGAAGGCUUUCGGGUCGUAAAACUCUGUUGUUAGGGAAGAACAAGUGCUAGUUGAAUAAGCUGGCACCUUGACGGUACCUAACCAGAAAGCCACGGCUAACUACGUGCCAGCAGCCGCUGUAA